rnacentral:rRNA from 1 species
GAUGAACGCUGGCGGCGUGCCUACUACAUGCAAGUCGAGCGAACGGCCGAGAAGCUUGCUUUUCUGAUGUUAGCGGCGGACGGGUGAGUAACACGUGGAUAACCUACCUAUAAGACUGGGAUAACUUCGGGAAACCGGAGCUAAUACCGGAUAAUAUUUUGAACCGCAUGGUUCAAAAGUGAAAGACGGUCUUGCUGUCACUUAUAGAUGGUUCCGCGCUGCAUUAGCUAGUUGGUAAGGUAACGGCUUACCAAGGCAACGAUGCAUAGCCGACCUGCGAGGGUGAUCGGCCACACGGGAACUGAGACACGGUCCAUACUCCUACGAGAGGCAGCAGUAGGGAAUCGGCCGCAAUGGGCGAAAGCCUGACGGAGCAACGCCGCGUGAGUGAUGGAGGUCUUCGGAUCGUAAAACUCUGUUAUGAGGGAAGAACAGAUGUGGAAGGAACUGUGCACAUCUUGACGGUACCUAAUCAGAAAGCCACGGCUAACUACGUG